GGGCUAGUAGCUCAACGGUAGAGUAUCGCCUCGGCAUGGCGGGGGUUCCGGGUUCAAAUCCCGGCUAGUCCA
rnacentral:tRNA from 1 species